GACUUCUGGGAGGAUAUGUUUUUCUUUACAUGCCAAGAAGUCGUGUUCCCAUCUUCCUGCCAUGAAUGAGGUUGAGUGCUGAUGUGAUGCUUGGAGCUGUGGCAGACAUCCUGCAACCGUAAAGCAUCGAGGCGGUUUCCUAGUUUUCAUGAUUAUAAAUGAUGCUGCGAUGAAUAUCCUUGUCCAGGAAAUCUUUAUCUGGGUUUCUGACAAUGUCCCUAGAAGAAAUCCACAGCCGGGAAAUUACGGAGUCUCAGCUCUGCUGUUUGCUACCUCUCGCCUUACAGAUGCUCUGGAGAAGGUCCUUCUCCGACCUGAUCUCCCAUCUGGUACGGUGUGGCUUCUGGCUCCUAAUGCAGUCCCCCCAGGAGAAAGGAGGGAUAAGAGGAGGCAAUUUGCCUGUGCCUUCAUCUGUAUCUUUGUGAAGGUCUUCUACUCACAGAGGAAAGGAAUUGCUUUAGCUCCAUCACUGGAAUUGGAAGCUCCAAUACUUUGGCCACCAGAUGCAAAGAGCUGACUCAUUGGAAAUGACCCUGAAGCUGGGAAAGACUGAGGGCAGGAGGAGAAGCGGGUGGCAGAGGAUAAGAUGAUUGGAUGGUAUCACUGACUCAAUGGACAUGAGUUUGAACGAACUCUGGGAGAUAGUGAAGGGAAGCCUGGUGUGCUUUAGUCCAUGGGGUCGCAAAGAUUCAGAAAUGAGUUAGUGACUGAACAAUAACAACAAUCAUGGGGAUUAGAAAGGUUAAUAUUUUAUCACACCAAUACACUGAUCCCUGACUAACUUGCUACUUGAGGAGGAGGUCUCAUGUCUAUUGGUCUCAGUUUCUCAUUUAAACUAGAAUUGACUGGAUGGUUGAGCACAGUUCCUGCAUAUUUAUCCUCAUAGUCUCUGAAUCAAAAGUUUUGGUUAGGUCCUUACUCACCUUGGACAUAUAUGGACCCCAUUCAUCCACCUCACUCCCUGGUCUUAACUUCCUGAGAGAAAAUACUCAGGAAAUGCUCCAUCCAUGAGCAUGCU
ensembl:lncRNA